rnacentral:rRNA from 1 species
AGCAGUCGCCGCGGUAAUACGUAGGUCCCGAGCGUUGUCCGGAUUUAUUGGGCGUAAAGGGAGCGCAGGCGGUUUAGUAAGUCUGAAGUUAAAGGCAUUGGCUCAACCAAUGUAUGCUUUGGAAACUGUUAGACUUGAGUGCAGAAGGGGAGAGUGGAAUUCCAUGUGUAGCGGUGAAAUGCGUAGAUAUAUGGAGGAACACCGGUGGCGAAAGCGGCUCUCUGGUCUGUCACUGACGCUGAGGCUCGAAAGCGUGGGUAGCGAACAGGAUUAGAUACCCCUGUAGUCCCUGUCUCUUAUACA